rnacentral:lncRNA from 1 species
GGAGAAAAAGAGGAGGAAUGGCAAAGGCUGAUUGACUUUGUCAGCUACUUACUUUAAAAAACAUUUGAGAAAGCCAGAAAGCAGAGAGGAUGAAGCUCCACCGUCAUGAGAAUGGGAAGCAGAGGCAGCGGCAGCAUGCACAGACAUCCUUUGAAGGUUUGUUAUAAACACAGAAACUGAUGUCUGGGAAAAGGCUGGAGUGCAAUGGCGCGAUCUCGGCUCACCGCAACCUCCGCCUCCCAGGUUCAAGCAGUUCUCCUGCCUUUGUCUCCCGAGUAGCUGGGAUUACAGGCAUGCACCACCACGCCCGGCUAAUUUUGUAUUUUUAGUAGAGACAGGGUUUCUCCAUGUUAAGGCUGUUUUCGAACUCCUGACCUCAGGUGAUCCGCCCGCCUCGGCCUCCCAAAGUGCUGGGAUUACAGGCGUGAGCCACUGUGCCCAGCCCAAGCUGUACUUUUAUUUAAGUAUAAUUUAGUUAGAUGUGUGAACUCACUGAAAAUGUAUACACAAUUUUCUGUGUAUGUAUAAAAUUUGAUAUUUAAAUGUAUUUAUGGCAAGAGUAUCUGUAACUUUUAUUAACAUAUCAAGUGGACAUGAUCACAAAACAUGUAAUUUAUUACCAUAGAGCUUCAGAAAUACCCCUUCCAAAAAAUAUGUAUAAUGAUAUGAUACUUACAAUGGAGGCAACUAUGAUAUUUAACUGUCAGUAAACUGAAAGAAUAAAAUGACUCAAAAAGUUUGUAAAGAUGAUACCUUUC